rnacentral:rRNA from 1 species
CCGAGAUUCCCCCAGUAGCGGCGAGCGAACGGGGAGCAGCCCAGAGUCUGAAUCAGCUUGUGUGUUAGUGGAACGGUCUGGAAAGUCCGACGGUACAGGGUGAUAGUCCCGUACACCAAAAUGCACAGGCUGUGAACUCGAAGAGUAGGGCGGGACACGUGGUAUCCUGUCUGAAUAUGGGGGGACCAUCCUCCAAGGCUAAAUACUCCUGACUGACCGAUAGUGAACCAGUACCGUGAGGGAAAGGCGAAAAGAACCCCGGCGAGGGGAGUGAAAAAGAACCUGAAACCGUGUACGUACAAGCAGUGGGAGCACCUUCGGGUGUGACUGCGUACCUUUUGUAUAAUGGGUCAGCGACUUAUAUUCUGUAGCAAGGUUAACCGUAUAGGGGAGCCGCAGGGAAACCGAGUCUUAACUGGGCGUUAAGUUGCAGGGUAUAGACCCGAAACCCGGUGAUCUAGCCAUGGGCAGGUUGAAGGUUGGGUAACACUAACUGGAGGACCGAACCGACUAAUGUUGAAAAAUUAGCGGAUGACUUGUGGCUGGGGGUGAAAGGCCAAUCAAACCGGGAGAUAGCUGGUUCUCCCCGAAAGCU